GAUGAACGCUGACAGAAUGCUUAACACAUGCAAGUCUUUGGCGAAGCUGUGCUUGCACAGCCUAGCCAAGGCGGACGGGUGAGUAACGCGUAAGGAACUUGCCCUGCAGUCAGGGAUAACAGACGGAAACGACUGAUAAGACCUGGUAAAGUCAGGCGGACUCAUGUCCAGCCUGAUGAAAAGAGAUGCUGCAGGAGAGCCUUGCGUCCUAUUAGCUUGUUGGUGGGGUAACGGCCCACCAAGGCGAUGAUAGGUAGCCGGCCUGAGAGGGUGGACGGCCACAAGGGGACGGAGAUACGGCCCUUACUCCUACGGGAGGCAGCAGUGGGGAAUAUUGGACAAUGGGGGCAACCCUGAUCCAGCAAUUCUGUGUGCACGAUGAAGGUUUUCGGAGUGUAAAGUGCUUUCAGCAGGGAAGAAAAAAAUGACGGUACCUGCAGAAGAAGCGACGGCUAAAUACGUG
rnacentral:rRNA from 1 species